UGCAGAAUAAUCGAUCCGUCUCCUGUGACCGCACGGACGAAGACACGGAGACACGGAAGUCUGCCGGCAGACUACAGCUCAUUCCACCACACCACCAACGGGUUACCCUGCAGGAGAAAGAAACAAGCUUUGGACACUUUCCACUGUAUCACCAACGGGUAAUACACCGCAGCAACAGCAAGACGAGCAGGACUCACAGUCAUUUUACAGAUGUAGCCAGGGCUUAAAGAGGUCCUGGUGAGGUGGUGGAACUCAUGGAGGAGGACCAUGGAGGCACCAGGACCUGAGGAAGGAGUAGGUGGCUGCACCUCAUCAGCAACACUAGU